CUGCCCAGUGAUAUAUUUUUAACGGCCGCGGUAUUCUAACCGUGCAAAGGAAGGGUAAUCACUUGUCUUCUAAAUAAAGACCAGUAUGAACGGAUAAAUGAGGACAAACCUGUCUCCUACGACAAACCAGUGAAACUGAUCUUCCAGUACAAAAGCUGGAAUAAACACAUAAGACGAGAAGACCCUGUGGAGCUUAUAAACACAAGAUCAACAAGGCAAACCACAAAACCAACAAUUGACCCUACGUUUUAAGUUGGGGCGACUUCGGAAAAAAACAGAACUUCCGAGAACGGGGCCACCAACCCCUGCUAAGGAAUACAACCCAAAGCAUCAACAUAUAAAAGACCCAGUCAAACUGAUUAACGAACCAAGUUACCCCAGGGAUAACAGCGCUAUCUUCUUCAAGAGUCCAUAUCGACAAGAAGGUUUACGACCUCGAUGUUGGAUCAGGACACCCAAAUGGUGCAGCAGCUAUUAAAGGUUCGUUUGUUCAACGAUUAACAGUCCUACGUG
rnacentral:rRNA from 1 species